UACGUAGGGGGCAAGCGUUGUCCGGAUUUACUGGGCGUAAAGGGCGCGUAGGCGGCGCAACAAGUCAGGCGUGAAAGCCCCGGGCUCAACCUGGGAGGUGCGCUUGGGACUGUUGGGCUUGAGUUCGGGAGAGGAGCGUGGAAUUCCCAGUGUAGAGGCGAAAUUCGUAGAUAUCGAGAGGAACACCAGUGGCGAAGGCGGCGACCUGGGCCAAUAUUGACGCUGAGGUGCGAAAGCGUGGGGAGCAAACAGG
rnacentral:rRNA from 1 species